rnacentral:rRNA from 1 species
ACCCCAAAAGCUAGCCCACCUUCAAAAUUCAACACUCAACAUUAAUUUCCCCGCACAACUAAGAUAUAAUUAAACAAACCAUUUUACCACCCGAGUACGGGAGACAGAAAAG